UACGGGGGGGGCAAGCGUUGUUCGGAAUUACUGGGCGUAAAGGGCGCGUAGGCGGCCUGCUAAGUCGAACGUGAAAUCCCUGGGCUCAACCCAGGAACUGCGUCCGAUACUGGUUGGCUUGAAUCCGGGAGAGGGAUGUGGAAUUCCACGUGUAGCGGUGAAAUGCGUAGAGAUGUGGAGGAACACCGAUGGCGAAGGCAGCCUCCUGGGCCAACACUGACGCUCAUGCACGAAAGCGUGGGGAGCAAACAGG
rnacentral:rRNA from 1 species